AGCUGGUCUCAGUUGGGAUUGCAGGCUGCAACUCGCCUGCAUGAACGCGGAGUUGCUAGUAAACGCAGGUCAGCACACUGCGUUGAAUACGUUCCCGGGGUUUGUACACACCGCCCGUCACGUCAUGGAAGUUGGCAAUACUUGAAGUCACUGGGCUAACCCAUUUAUUUGGGACGCAGGUGCCGAGAGUAGGGCCGAUGACUGGGACGAAGUCGUAACAAGGUAGCUGUACCGGAAGGUGCGGCUGGAUCACCUCCUUUCUAAGGAGA
rnacentral:rRNA from 1 species